rnacentral:rRNA from 1 species
UACGUAGGGUGCGAGCGUUGUCCGGAAUUACUGGGCGUAAAGAGCUCGUAGGUGGUUUGUCGCGUUGUUCGUGAAAACUCACAGCUCAACUGUGGGCGUGCGGGCGAUACGGGCAGACUGGAGUACUGCAGGGGAGACUGGAAUUCCUGGUGUAGCGGUGGAAUGCGCAGAUAUCAGGAGGAACACCGGUGGCGAAGGCGGGUCUCUGGGCAGUAACUGACGCUGAGGUGCGAAAGCGUGGGGAGCAAACAGG